GAGUUUGAUCGUGGCUCAGAUUGAACGCUGGCGGCAUGCCUUACACAUGCAAGUCGAACGGCAGCACGGGAGCUUGCUCCUGGUGGCGAGUGGCGAACGGGUGAGUAAUGCAUCGGAACGUAUCCUGGAGUGGGGGAUAACGUAGCGAAAGUUACGCUAAUACCGCAUAUUCUGUGAGCAGGAAAGCGGGGGACCUUCGGGGCCUCGCGCUCUUGGAGCGGCCGAUGUCGGAUUAGCUAGUUGGUGAGGUAAAGGCUCGCCAAGGCGACGAUCCGUAGCAGGUCUGAGAGGAUGAUCUGCCACACUGGAACUGAGACACGGUCCAGACUCCUACGGGAGGCAGCAGUGGGGAAUUUUGGACAAUGGGGGCAACCCUGAUCCAGCCAUGCCGCGUGAGUGAAGAAGGCC
rnacentral:rRNA from 1 species